GAUGAACGCUGGCGGCGUGCCUAAUACAUGCAAGUCGAGCGAAUGGAUUAAGAGCUUGCUCUUAUGAAGUUAGCGGCGGACGGGUGAGUAACACGUGGGUAACCUGCCCAUAAGACUGGGAUAACUGCGGGAAACUGGGGCUAAUACCGGAUAACAUUUUGAACCGCAUGGUUCGAAAUUGAAAGGCGGCUUCGGCUGUCACUUAUGGAUGGACCCGCGUCGCAUUAGCUAGUUGGUGAGGUAACGGCUCACCAAGGCAACGAUGCGUAGCCGACCUGGGAGGGUGAUCGGCCACACUGGGACUGAGACACGGCCCAGACUCCUACGGGAGGCAGCAGUAGGGAAUCUUCCGCAAUGGACGAAAGUCUGACGGAGCAACGCCGCGUGAGUGAUGAAGGCUUUCGGGUCGUAGAACUCUGUUGUUAGGGAAGAACAAGUGCUAGUUGAAUAAGCUGGCACCUUGACGGUACCUAACCAGAAAGCCACGGCUAACUACGUGCCAGCCGCCGCAGUAA
rnacentral:rRNA from 1 species